CUACGGGGGGCUGCAGUGAGGAAUAUUGGUCAAUGGGCGCGAGCCUGAACCAGCCAUCCCGCGUGCAGGAUGACGGCCCUAUGGGUUGUAAACUGCUUUUCUAUGCCAAGAAACCUGAUUACGUGUAAUCAGUUGCCGGUAGCAUAGGAAUAAGCAUCGGCUAACUCCGGGCCAGCAGCCGCGGUAAUACGGAGGAUGCAAGCGUUAUCCGGAUUCAUUGGGUUUAAAGGGUGCGCAGGUGGGCUUGUAAGUCAGUGGUGAAAUGCUGCCGCUUAACGGUAGGACUGCCAUUGAGACUGCGAGUCUUGAGUAUGGUUGAGGUAGGCGGAAUGUGUUGUGUAGCGGUGAAAUGCAUAGAUAUGACACAGAACGCCAAUUGCGAAGGCAGCUUACUAAGCCAUUACUGACGCUGAGGCACGAAAGCGUGGGGAGCGAACAGGAUUAGAUACCCCAGUAGUC
rnacentral:rRNA from 1 species